rnacentral:lncRNA from 1 species
AAUGGGAAUAAAUUAAUUAACCCUGGUCGUCAAUGGUGUUGUCCCUGCUGCUGUUGCUGUAGUAGCUGCAAAGCACCUUGCACUUGACCAGGUUGCCAUAGACGUAGAACCCAGGUGCCACCAUGAUCCGAACCACGGUUGGGACCAGCUUUCUGGCUCUGUCUCCGCCCAUAUCCUCCAUGUAAACUGAAUCAAAUCUCACCCCCUUAUCUACCCUGAAUAUUGACAGGCCAGGGUGCAGGGAGUUAGCCAAAAGGUGAACCAACCAGAC